AGUUGUACAGAUGUCACAUUUU
rnacentral:miRNA from 12 species